rnacentral:lncRNA from 1 species
UGGCUCGAUGCCAUUGAUGUCUUUCAGGCCAUACUUCCAAAGGCUGGGGUCUCUCUGGAUGGCAUGCCCUAUCUUUGUUUUUGAUGAAAACAAGCUAUGGCGGGGGUCUGACCUUUGCAAUAGUUUUUGCUGUGAAGCACCUCCUAACUCCUGAAGUCAUACCCUCUCUCUGGAAUAUGGUGUUGCUUAUAUCAAUCUUGUGAUUUUGCUAGUUUUGAUUCGGAUUCUGCUUGUUUUGAAGUUAUUAAGAAAUGGAUGCGAUUAGAAGGAACAUGACAAGGAGACCUAAUUAUCUAUCCCUAGAA